rnacentral:lncRNA from 1 species
CUCCGAGCAGUAAAACCAGAAGCCUACACGCCUCAGAUGGUAUCCAUCGGUCCUUAUCAUCAGGGCGGAUUUAGGAAGAGGCACGGGGGACACGUGUCCCCACUAUAUUUUUUUUUUUUACAUUUUUUCAUCAUUCUAGAUUUUGCAAAAUUAUAAAAGUGCCCCCAAAAAAUUUUAAAAUAUAUAAGUGCUUUCCGAAAAUUUGCUUCGUGCCCCCCUAACAUUUGUGUUCUAGAUGAUCCGCCCCUGCUUAUCAUCGAAGCAAACCUGAGUUGCGAGCUAUGGAGGAGUUUAAAUGGAGAUACAUGUUAGAUUUCAUUGAUAGAGUAGCAAAAAGGGAUAUAGGAAACAUUCAAAUCAAUGAGUCACAUGAACGAUUCCUUUCGAGAAUACAUGAACGAAUUCACUAAGAAGGCACUCAAUUGAGUAUUAAUUAUAAUAUUAUUAAUUAUUUAAUAAUUAAUAAUUAAUAAUAUAAUUAAUUAUAAUAUUAUUAAAUAAUUCACAUGUGUGGGGCCCACUUUCGCUGACGUGUACAGUUGUGGGGCCCAAUUUCGCUGACGUGUACAAUGUGGGGCCCACUUAGCUUUUGGGCUCCCUACCCCAACGUAACAGUUGCUUUGUAACAGAAGGCUAAUGUAACACUCUGCUGACGUGUAAAGCUGGUCAGGACCACCACUGUGUCCACGUGGCACUGUGGGUCCCACCUGUGGGGUCCACCUGUCAUUGUGGGACCCACUAUUCUAGAGAAAUUUUCAGUGGGGUCCAUAUGUGGGACCCACUUUUGCUGACGUGUACAGUUGUGGGGCCCGCUUUUGCUGACGUGUACAGUUGUGGGGCCCAAUAAAAUAAUUUUUAAUUAAAAUAUAGCAUUAUAGUAAUGCGAAGUGUUACAACAUGAAUGUUCUAUCGUAACACUAGGUUACUACUGCAACACAAACACUCUAAUGUAACGUUAAGGUAACAUGAAAUUUAACAUUGAUUCUUGAGUGUUAUGGUAGGAACAGAUAGUAUGGCUACUGUAACACAAAUUUGGCUUUACAUUAGAAAAGAGUCUUGUUUGCCCAUCUAUGGUGUAGUGCAAGGUUCCGAAUUUGGACCAAAAAUAAUGAUUAUCUCCCUUUAGCAAGGAAUGACAGAUAAUAAUUUCCGAUGAUCGCUAGCUAAGAAGGGCUCUGAUAACAUGAAUGAGAUCCGAGAAAGGGCUGGAAAGUAUAUUAAGACAGAUGAAAGCGUGAGCAAAUCCCAGCCAGGGACAAUCCACAAAUUCUAAAAAAUGUGGAAACGAUACGGAGUACAAUGCAAAAAGCAAGUAGUCGAAGACUGGAGAUGGUGUGGGAUUACCGUCUAAGAAGAAAAACAGGACCGAGGUUCAUGGAAUAUGUGAAGCUGAAUGCUCCAAGGAGUCAGAUCCUAAUGAAAUGAGAAAAUUGACAUAGUUUGACGGCCGAAGCCUAUAAGUUUGUUCUAAUGUUUGUACAGUUUCAUCGUAUCAAUAUACUUUCUGAAACAGCUCAACUCAAGCCAUCUCCAAGUUAUCUACAACUUUACAAGUAAAUAUCUAUAACACUUUGUUUUCUAAUGUCGAAAAAGCAUGUGUUCGUAUUAUUUCCCUGAAUACAUUAAAUUUAGAGUAAAUGACACAUUGCACCCCUUAUCUUAGGUCAUUUUUUCUAUAUGGUCUUAAAUUUAUAACGUUGGCAGAAUGGAACCCUUAGUUUUGAAUUUUAUUUUGUAUUGCAACCCUUUGGUCAAAUUCCAUCAAAAUAUUUGUUGUCGUUAGUUUUUAUGAUGGUAAACUUGGAAAGACAUUUUCGAAGUUUCAAUUUUCGCAUAACACACCCCGUAGUUUUAUUAUUGUGAUGAAUUGCAAACUAGCUACAAUUUUAAAUUUAUCUUUUACAGGAAUAACUUUAAUAUGAAAAAUUAAAUACCUAUCAAUUAUAAAUUUGUAAGUUUGUAUCUACAUAAUUAAUAGACAAAAUUCUUAUAGUUACAAAGUGAGUAAAAUUUUAUAAUCCCUCUCAUUUCUUUACCGGAUUCCCCUAUACUCAAGUAUGUGAUCAUAUUAAUUUUAGGUUUUCCAGAUUUGGGUCCAUAUUAGUUUAUUCAGAUAUAAACCGAUUUCAGGUAUUUGAGGUCUAGAUCUAAACCUCUUAUAUGCCAGAAUAGUAUUUUUUUUGUUUUUUAACCGGGUAGUUUAUGAUCCAUGACCGAGAAUAUGAUCCACUAAUAUUAAAUAUCAUUUUUAUUUUAUUAUUCAAAUAAUUAUGAUUUAGUCUAUAUAAACAUAAUACUGUAAAAAUAUAAUAAUUAUAAAUUAAAACUUACAAUUAUAUGUGUGUGUGUGUAUAUAUAUAUAUAUAUAUUAUUAAAUACAUUAUAAAUUAAGAUAAUAUGCGUUAUUACAGUGAAUAAAUCAUAUUUUAUGAAGAUUUAAAAUUAAAUAAGAUAUUAAAAUUUGAUAAAAUGAUGACUACUUACUUACGAAUGUAAUGGGUUAAAUAUAUGAUUUCGAAUAGAAUAUGAAUCAUGGAUCAUAAUCGGGUAUUGGGUUAGGAUCACAUUACGAAAAAUAAUAUGACAACUAAUCUGAGCGGGUAUAAGAGUGCUCAUAUCCGAGAUUAUAUCUUAUUUUGAUUUAGUUUCAGAGUGAAAUUUAGAUCAUUUACAUAACAGAUAUCGGAUAUGUAUUAUAUUUUCGAGACAAAUUUAACUCAAGACACCAUAUAGUCCGGAACGAUUUACAGCCUAAGUAUCAUCCAGUUCUUUUAACUUUGCACCAAUGUUACAUUAUAAAUACUUAAGAAAUUUUAACUCAAAUUCAUGACGCCUGCACUCAUUUAUUGGAUUAUCGGUUGUGUUUCCAUUUCUUGUCCAAUUAUUUUUCCAACAACAGUGACAAGUGGGAAUAAAUCAAGUAGACUUCUCCACAUCAAAGAAUUUUCUAGCACCAAUGAAAGUAUGAAGCAAUCAAAGUUACCUGAAACAUGUGGGACAGGAACUCGUUAUCUCUUACAUUGACUAGAGUGGACUUCACAAAUAAACAAAACCAAAAUGAGGGUUCUAUAAUUGAAGCCAUACCAUGCUUGCCAAGAAAAUGAUACACCAGAAACUAGCUUCUUCUGAUCUCACUCGUUACUCCGCUCAAGUCGUCUAGAUAACUAACAGGUACAACUCCGAUAUAAAACUUUCACAGUUACGUUUAUAAGUUUUAUGUUUGUAGUAUGAGUAACUGCUAACUACAUUUGAGCCUUGUUAUUAAGUUGUACUCAAAUUUAUACAUGUUUGCAGGAUCAGUUUUAUUAGUAUAUUGCAUAUGUGUUUGCUAAUGUAUGUGAUAAUUUGCAUUUUUUAAAGUUUUGGUACAAGAUUCGUUUUUGAACCGAAGGUGUAAAAUGCAGUUACCUCUUUAAAAGUUUACUUAUAAAUUAAAUUUAUAUGUACUAAAUUAUAAUAGCUAAAUGUGGUUAUAAUUUGUAGUUUAGGUAGAUAACUUUGAUCAUUUCUAAAUUAUCAUUUUUUUUGCUUCAUUUGACAUAAUAAAUAAAUUAUAUGAGCACAAUUGGAUAGCCAAGUGAUUGUUUAUGCUCUGUUGUCCUAGACAUGUAAAUAGACAAAAAAAAACUCAAAUAAAACUUUUAAUAUAUAAUCUUUUAUUGAGAAUUUUUUUUAAAAAUAUAAAUUACACAAUUAUAAUUUUAUAAUUUAGAUAGAUGGAGACUUGGAGUAUGUUUUAUUCACAUUUUGUUGCAGCUGCUCCUGCAACAAGGAUUUUACCAAAUUCAGAACUUGAAUAAAAACUGAUGAGAUUUAUGCAGUGAGAAAUGGAGCCAACACCCGAUUUACAAGUGAAGAUUACAACCUCAAAUGAUGAAGACUGGAUUCAUUUAAUUGAUAGUAAGCUAAGUCUAGUGAGGAGGAAACCACAGGACUUGGGUAUCUGUAGAGUUCCAGAUAGACUCCGAGAAGUAAAACCAGUAGCCUACACGCCUAAGAUGGUAUCCAUUGGUCCUUAUCAUCGAAACAAACCUGAGUUGCGAGCUAUGGAGGAGUUUAAAUGGAGAUACACGUUGGAUUUUAUUGAUGGAGUAGCAGAAACAGAUAGGGGAAACAUUCAAAUCAAUGAGUCACAUGAAAACUCACCUCAAACAUUGGCUUUGAAAAAGUGUUGCAAAGUUAUAUCAGAACUGGAAGUGGCGGCUCGCGCAUUCUAUGCUGAAGGUAUCAAUCUAGACACGUAUCAGCUAGUGCAGAUGUUCCUACUUGAUGCUUGUUUUAUACUUGAAUACAUGAGAAGAAUCCAACUUUCAAGGGCAAUUCCCUGGGCACCAGAAUCAUUGGAAUUGCUAGUGAGUCAGUUGACGAUAAUUUAUUCUUUGACAGAAGAUUUAAUUCUACUGGAGAACCAAAUUCCAUACAAUAUUCUGCAACAGCUUUUUGACUUAAUACCAAGUGCAAGGAGAAUAACUGAUGCAAGUGGUCAAGUGUUGUCGCUUCAAGAGCUAGCCUUUGCCUUUUUUCAUGCCUUUGGGAAUAUUUUGGGUAACAAUAUAUUACCUCUUAAGAAACCCAUUCAGGAUGCCACCUUUACUCAUUUACUAGAUAUGUUGUACCAAACUUGCAGCUCCACUUCUGUGAUAUCACCCUUGAAAAUGGAUAGUAGGACAAGGAUCAAGUGGGGUUCGAAAAGCUGUGCUGCAGAACUUAUAAAAUCUGGUUUUCGAAUUUCUUUACAUCCCCGUAGGGUGAGCAUAGUUGACAUAAAAUUUGAGGAAGGGGAAAUUUUUCUUCCAAGAUACACCCAUGAUGAGUUUACUAGCUGUUUAUUUAGAAAUCUCAUUGCUUUGGAGCAGAGCAGAAAUGGCAGACAAGUUAUUACUUCAUAUAUAUUUUUUAUGAGAAGUUUGCUACGUUCUGAAGAAGACUUCAAUAUACUUGAGCGGGCAGGUACAAUAACAAAUUUUCAAAAAAGUAAGUUUAUCACUAGUGAUUUUGAAAGAUUGGGCAUGGGAGUUAUAUCUGCGGACUUCAUUUUUAGAGAUUUAUGUGAGGAGCUUAAUAAUUAUAAAGUAUCUUGGUGGAGGUGGCGCAGAGUGAAGGGAUAUACGACUGUGACUUGGUUUAGAUGGAAAGCAUCUGUCAAGGAUUUGAAACGAGAAUAUUUCAAAAACAGGUGGAGUUUUUUGACAUUCUUAGCUGCAUCUUUUGUCAUUCUCCUCACGGUGGCUCAGACUUUUUAUACUAUUCGUGCUUAUUAUCCUCCCUACCACUGAAAGUGUUGUAACCUUUUAUCUGGGCUAUUUUCUUUGGUUAUGUACUUGUAUUUUAUAAUUUUGGUUUCAUAAAUAAUUAUCUAAAAGACAAAUCUUCUGUAUGGUUAUGGUGUUGUUCUAUCUAUUUUAGCUGAUACAGUGUUUAUGCAAGUUCUCUGAUAGUAAGUAUACGAUAAUGAAGUCUUUGAACUUAGACAUUUCAAAAACAGAACUUGAGGACUCAAAUUUACUUAACUGGAAAAAGUGUUUUUAAGUUAACAUAACAACGAUACAGUCAUGCAGCAUUAACUCAUCCCUCAAGUCGAUAAAUGAUAUCAACUUCAUUACUAAUUUCUUCCGAGUCUCAAUCGACUCACUAAAUUGAUUUGAUGAUAUCAUUCACAUCAGGGCCGUUAAGAAAAUUAACGGAAUCAUUAACAGAGGGCAGCUGGCGGGUGAACUUAUGCUGAGAUCAGCGUAAUGUUCGUAUUGAGUGUGUAUAUAUAAUUGUACGUAUCUUUCUUUCUUUUUUUUGCUAAAUAUGUAUCUUUCUUUUCCAAUCAAUUUUGUCUAAUAAAAAAUACACGUGGCUGCUGUAUCUGAUUUUCCAGUUCAUCUGAGUUGUGCAGGUGCGAAAUUAAAGUACGAGAAAGUUUUUUUAGUGGAGGAAAAGCUUUAAGUACUUGAUGCAAAAGUGGCGAAGAAAGAAGAAAAGUUACAUUUUGAUAUCAUUAAAUUAGUUUAGUGAGUCAAGUGAGACUACAAUGAAUUUGAUAAUUAAGAAUACAGUUUUUAUGAGUUUUCAACUAAUAAUUGAAGAAAAAAAAGUGAGAGUGCCUUUAAAAGCACCAUCGGAGUCGGAGAUGCCCUGUUACUCUCUCAUCUCUCUCUCGUCUCUUCUGUCUCUCUUUCUUGUUUAAAUCGAUUUACACUCACACUAACUUAUCUCCUCUGUUCAAUUAGUGAUUAUAAAGGCUUUUGUAGCUUCUUUAGGGUUUAAAGGUAGAUGAAGGGUUCGAUUCAAGCUGUUGUUUGAUGCACAAAUUCCUUAAUUUUGUGCAGGUUCAAGUGUUGGUCGAAGGUCAAAGCUCUUAGUUCGAUCGCAUCUGUUGUUUCAAGAUUCAGUUAAGGGAGUGCUUUGUUCAAUUAAGCUAAUUUUGCAGCUCAUUAAUUUUUGGGUUAUAUGGAUAUUGGGAAAAUUAAAUUACAGGUCGCUGAACUAUUGACGUUUUAUUGUCUAGGUCUCUGAACUAAAGAUUCCGUAUUUCAAGUCACUUAACUUUUCUAUUUUCUGAUCUAAAUCCUUCCGUUAAAAAAAUUCUAACAAUGUUAAGUAGGGUUCUUGAGUUUCAUACCGAUGAAAGCAAAUUUGAAGGUGUUAGUGAUAUCCAAAUUCAACGUUCAAGUAGUCAAAUUGAAGCUUGAGUCGCUGGCGACACUCAUAUGACAUCAAUUUUCAAAAAUUGUGUUUAACCUCUAAACUCCCUAAUUUCAAAAACCCCAUUAAUUAACCUCUAAACUCCCUGAUUUCGAAAACCCCAUACAAACCCCCCUCCAUUGCCUUCUCCGAAUCACGGUACCAAUCAAAAUUCCUGCCCCAACAACAAAAACUGACACACGGAAACCUUAUCUCAUCCGACCAAAUCAAAAUUGGCUUCUGGGGUUUCAAGGUAAGCCCAGAUAAUAAACAAACAAAAAGGUGAAAUAAACAAAACAAAGGAUCGUAAUAGUGUGUUAAUUGAGUGAUGGGAAGAAAUGAAAAGAAUGAGUGGACAAACAACAAAGACAGACCAUGGAACGCAUGCAGAUUCGUAUAACACUGCUUUUUGUAUAUACUGUAGAUCUGGUUGUAAUUUGUUUGAAUAUUACCCACAUGAGCUUCCUAUUACCCACUUUUCUAUAUUAGCAUUUGGCUGUUAUGCAAUAAUUCUUUUCUUGCUGACCAUGUCAUGAUCCUCAAAAAGAGCUGCCAACUGGGUGGAGAUGAUGCUGGACGACUCAUUGUUGUGAAUUUAAAUUUUGAUUAUAUAUUUUUAUUCAGAAAAAAAAUUUAAAAAAUAAUAUUUUUAACUAUUCAAUCAAAUCAUUUAAAAGUGUGUUUCAAAAAAAAAAGAGGGAGUAAAAUAAUAUGAAACAAAGAUAGUAUUUCCCCUCUCUUUGUUAGCUCUGUCAAUGAUUCCCAAUAAAGAAUUAAUUCGGUCCCAGCUUAGAACAUUGGUCUUCUCCUCUUCUUAUUUAAUUGAUCAAGUACCUAACACAUCUUUGUCUGUAUUAAUCAUCUGUGCAGACGCCUUGAUUUGACUGUUUUUGGGAAAGGAAGACUUUAAACAAGCUUAGUACUGUAUGCUAACAAAACUAUUCCCCUGUGUGUGCAAGGGAAGCAAGAGCUAAUUCUUGCUUCUACUUUUCUUAACCCGUUUGUAUAAAGAAAUAAGAACUAAGAAGUAUGGUGAGAAAGAAGCUGGAAGUAGAAAAUUCUGGGUUUUCUAUAAUUUCUACUUCUUUUCCAAACACUCUAAUAUAAGUAUUAUUAAUUUACUUCUCACUCUACUCCACUCUUUUAUUUUAACCAACAAGUUACUUCCUUUAACAUAACCCAAACGGCCCUGUGAACUAUAAAACUGUAUAUUAGGCAUCAGUUCAUAUCAUAUAGAACAUAGUUACAAGGUUUCAUAUAAUUCUACAGUUUCAUCAGCUUACCUAUAUACAACCUUGUUUACCUUGUAUAUGUUCAUAUAAUUUUGUAAAACCUAUAUAGCUUCAUCAGUUGAUUUCAUACAGCACAUAAUUGCUCACUCACCCCAAGACGUCUCCAAACUAGCAGGUAUACAAUUUUGAUCUCAUUUUACACAUUUUUGUUUCUUAUAAGUUGAUUUGAAUAAGCUGGAUUAGACUUUACAAAAACAUACACUGUCUGAGUGCAUGUUUUGGUCUUAAUUAUGUAAGAACCGGUUCAUCUAAAACCUUUUAAAGGAAGGGCCUAGUGGAUCCUAUGCUAUAUUUCAAUAAAUUAGUCAUUGGUAAUGGCUAUGUUUUGCUUGUGUUGCGAUGUUUAGGCUGAAAUGUGCAAGUUUGUACUUGUAAUGUGUUUUCAAGACUUUCAACUUCACAUAAUCCUAGUCAAAACACAUUCGCUGGGUCAUUCUUAUGACUAAGUUGUACUGCCAGCUUAAAAACUUCUGCUCCGGCAGAUACAGAAGGAUAUUUUUCUCAUUAUCUAUGUUAAAUAACCAGACUCGUAUGAUUAAAUUCUAGAUUUUUAAGAUUGUGUUCACGUGGGAGAAUGGAACGGAAUGAAAACUAUAAACAAAUUAUAUGAAGAAAUAAGAAUGUUUGAAUGAAAAAUUUCAAACAUAAAUUAUAGAACUAUAAUAAAUUAUAGAACUAUAAUAAUUUUAUAAGGUGCCCGGGAACGAUGAAGUAUGUUUUAUUUAUGGUUAGUGAUGCUCAAGCAACUUGGAUAUUACCAAAUUCAGAAGUUGAAUAAAAAAUUCAUGAGUUUUAUGCAGUGAGAAAUGGAGCCAACACCCAGUUUAGAUGUGAGGAUUACAACCUCAAAUGAUGAAGAGUGGAUUCAUUUGAUUGACAGUAAGCUAAGUCUAGUAAGGAGGAAACCACAGGACUUGGGUAUCUGUAGAGUUCCAGAUGAACUCCGAGCAAUAAAACCAGAAGCCUACACCCCUCAGAUGGUAUCCAUUGGUCCUUAUCAUAGAAACAAACCUGAGUUGCGAGCUAUGGAGGAGUUUAAAUGGAAAUACACGUUAGAUUUUAUUGAUGGAGUAGCAGAAACAGAUUCGGGAAACAUUCAAAUCAAUGAGUCACAUGGUGAGGCUAAUGAAAACUCACCUCAAACAUUGGCUUUAAAAAAGUGUUGCAAAGUUAUAUCAGAACUGGAAGUGGAGGCUCGCGCAUUCUAUGCUGAAGAUAUCAAUCUAGACACGUAUCAUCUAGUGCAGAUGUUCCUCCUUGAUGCUUGUUUUAUACUCGAAUACAUGAGAAGAACCC